AUCUCCUUUAUUCAUCAGCUCGUAACCGUUGACUCUCAAUCAUGAAUCUUAUAAACACAUUAUUGCUUCCCUUCAUAUUUUCAUACCCUCCGAAUCUGUUUGGUCAUUUCCUUGUUCAAGGUGGAGAUUGAAAUGAAAGAAUAUGAUACAUGGGACCAAGGUCGAUUUUGUUUUUGCAGAGCCACUAUGUAUGAAGGGAAUUACAUAGCUUCAAAAGCUCCUUCAUCUGCUUUAAUUUCAAUGUUCGCAUGCAUAAGUAUUUUACUUUCAAAACAAAUGUUGUAGAUAGGUAUGACAUGUUUGUUGUUGCCAAUGAACAUACCGGUAUUAAAAUAAUGCAGUUAAUCAAUCUUCACCAUAUGCCAUAAAUUCCAGUAGGGUGAAUACAUUGCCUUCCUAAAUUUUGCAUUUGAAAUUGUUUUUUUUUUUUUUACUUAAUGUAGUUCUACUUCUAUUUCUAGAAGGGGCAUUGCAGAAGUAUUGAUGAAACUUUUGGGUAUGGCUAUUCUCUUCCAUCUACUUGGUAAUCCUCGUACUGCACCAAAAUAUAUUAGCAUGAUUUUUGGGUGCAUGCUGAGGAAAAGUCUUCAUAACCUUCUCUAUCCAUCGCCGCCAAUGAGGACAAUUGGUCAAGUGACAAUAACAUGCAUAUAUAAUAAUCACGUUCAAUUCCCUACAUUCUUUAGAAGACUCUGCUCAAUUUCCAUUAAGUUGGUUGUUUAUUUCAACUUCAAUCCCUUUUUGUCUAUUUUUUUUUCUUAAUUAUUUAUCUUAAUUUUGAGAUUCAUUCUUGGUGUUCUCGAUUUUUAUUUUUGUUUCACUGUAUUCUUUAAAAGUUCAUAGAAAACCAAUGCUUUCAAUCAAUCUCUCUCUUUGCUUAUCAA